GGGGGCGUAUUGGAUUUCGACGGGGAAUUUGAAGUAAGAGCAGCGAGUAGCGGUGGGACACCGCUUUAAAAGUUCCAAAAAAAUAAACGCUAAUCGUAACGAAUUAGUAGCUGCUUAAUUAAAAGCAACCAUCUUGCCCGGUUUUCUAUCGGCCGGGGUCAAGGUGUCAUGCAGAUAGAGAACGUGAACACGCCAAAGCUUUGAGGCUUGUCACGGUUUUAUGAAGCUACCGAUGCACUAACCUGUUUGUCGGUUCAUUGCAAAGGGAAUGUUAAUGAUAAACUACACUCGUAGAUACUGUUACGGAUAAUUUUUCGGACACGGGUUCAACUCCCGUCGCCUCCACCA
rnacentral:tmRNA from 1 species